rnacentral:misc_RNA from 1 species
GUCGCUGAAACCUUAUUAUUGAAGAUAUAUUUACUGCACCCCGACUGAUUUGGGGACUGAUUUGCCGUGUAUAUGAAGCCUGGUUUAUAGCCGUGCAAGCCCUUGUGACAAUUGGCUUUAUCCUUGGUCUCGGCGGAGUCGUACUAUCGUUUAUCAUUAUGUUCGACGUCGCAUGCACACACAGGAAGGCAAUCCGUAUUGCUGCAAUCGUACACGCCUUUGUACCAGCUGCCCUGCUGUUGUCCGGUGUGUUUGUCUACUGGAUCAGAGGCGAGAUAUAUUUCGCCGUCUUCUACCUGGGGUUCUCCUGGGGAAUCACCCUUUCUGCUGCCAUCGUCUUCAUCAUCGCUGGCAUCCUCCUCUCCGUCGACCUCGACCGCCUCCACAACUAUCACGAUGAAGCUGCUGCCUCGACAAGUGACCACCCUGAAGCACCAGCUGUAGAGGAACAUCACUAGACGAAAUCAGGGUCAAGGUCGUGAUGUAGAGAGUACCUCAAUGGAACGAAGGCGUAUCAUACGCUUAUGUGUAUCUUUCUAUUAAACUAAUUUUGUAUC